rnacentral:rRNA from 1 species
AUUGCAUCAGAAACUGGUGAUCUUGAGUGGGCGAGAAGUAUGCGGAAUGCGUGGUGUAGCGGUGAAAUGCAUAGAUAUCACGCAGAACUCCGAUUGCGAAGGCAGCAUACCGGCGCCCGACUGACGCUGAGGCACGAAAGCGUGGGGAUCGAACA